CUUUCUCCUACUACACGGAGUGACAGAUCCUCUGUGCUCUCUUUCCCUCUCCACCUUAAGCGGAGACGACUCCUGCCCACCUUAAUCUUUUAUAUACUCACUGAAUAAUAACCUUUUUGGUCAUUUACUCAGGAAGGAUUUGUCAUUCCAAUACUUCAUUAAUCCUAUAACAUAAAAUCCAGAAGAUAUGUAUGUGGCUGAGAGGAGGCAUGUAAUUCCUUUGGUGGUAUUCACACUUAAAUAUAACACAGUGUAAGAGCAAAUCAGUUUUGAGGCGAGCUGUCAAAGCCACUCUCUUCCACCACUUUUGGGGAUCACUGUCACCAGGAUGUUAAUUAGGCAUGGGGAGGAGAUGAGGCUAUUCCAGCAGAUCAGAACUCUCUGGGAAACCCUGAACCAAAUCCCUGUGGUGUAAAUGCAGGGAAAUACAGCUUAUUUGUGUAAUUGUGGUCCAUCUUUGUGCCAGUGGCUCCACGUUGGUCAAGGGGCUGCUUUGAAAGUUGCUGGAGAUGCUCUGCCUGAUGCUCAGGGCACUGUCCCUCUUACACGUGGUUUUCUGAGGAAUGUUCCCACUCUUUCAAACACCCGGGGAGAACUGCUUUUGAGGGAUUAUUACAGAACCUCCUGGGGAAAAGACAAAUCAGGCUUUUUAUCUGCUUUUUGGCUUGCCACAAGCGAGUCCCAACUUCCUGCCACUAAAGGCACUUCUGCUUCUCUCUGCUCUGUCAAAGGACUUAAGAUGAUCAAUUUAUAACGUCUACAGAGUGCUAGGAUGAAAAGAUGUUCUGAAAAUGCCUCAGAUGAAAAGAAGCUGUAAAAAAAAACUAAUCUUUACCCUGAUAGACUGAUUACAAUCUAUUGUGCUGUGGAUUAGUGGAGACCUCCAGAUAGCAGCACUCUGCUGGCACUUUGCAGCUUUGUUAGGGAAAAACAGGAGCGUAUCUUUUAUUCCUGCCCUAUAUCCUCCUAUGUAUGAAGUGCUGCACAAACACCCAACUGAUGACUGCAGUUAUGUCAAAGAGCUGUCAGCUGAAAAGAACAGAGCAUAAAAAUACGGGAAGGGAGCAGGUAUCCACACUUCUUCUGUCCUUUUGGACCCAGCAGUGCCCCCACCUCUCAGCCCCUCAGUUUCCUGUACCCAAGUCCACGAGGGACGCUCAGCCCAGCAGCAGAGGAGUUGACCUCAGGUUUUUCUGGUGACACCAGCGCUGACACUCUGCCUCCUCCACGUUGGCAUGGAUGCUUAGAAGAGCUGCUCCCAAAGGAUGACAAAUGAAAUGGGACCAGCCUGUCUGUGAAGGGGAACGCUUCCCUCUGCUAACAGCUUGACUGAGAUUCACCCAAUUUGCUUCCUAACCGUUGGAACUGCCCCCACCAGUGAGUAGGUGCAGAGAUCAGCUUCUUCUGGAAGAAAUGUAUCUAAAAUGAGCAGAAGUGCUCUCCUGUGUAUCACGGGGACGUUGUCAUCUCCCAGGCUGUGAUAUGUGGCUAAAAAAAGAACAGAGGGCUCCUAAAAGUAGCCGAAAAGUGCAUGAUCUGAUUUUUUUUUUAACCAAUCAGCAUAAUACAUUUCACCCUAUGGUUUAUUUCUCCGUAAACCUUGCCACAAUUGCUGGAAGCUUCUAACUGGAAAGGAUGCCAACUUGAGCUGGAGGACACAUCUAAGAGAUGACCUCAGGCCAACUGAAAGAAGGUAGAGCAUUUUAGGAGGACUGUUCCAUUUAUUCUUGCAAUUUAGAUGCUUCACUGACUUCUGAUCAUCUUCAGAAUGGAUAAAAUGCCAAUGGACCGUACUGAAUGGUAAAUAAAUGGUACUACAGCCCACUGACUGUUAGUCGUUCGUUAAUAUAUCUGCAUAGGGAUAACACUGUGGAGACUAAAUCCUGAAUAAAACUGUCUGAGGUGAUACAAAAACGAACAUGAAAAGGAUGACCCUAAGCUAAAAAGAUUACUUGUGUUUGUUUGGCUCGAUGGCUGUAAUAGCAGCAGUAUUCAGCUGGAACAAUUAUUGGGUAGAAAAGAAGGGGUUUUUUUUGUAUAAGUUCAGAAUGCUUUCACUGUUAUUAUCUAAAAUUGAACUAUGUAUAUUAUUUUAAAUGGGUAAAUUUUUGUUUUGUAUCCAUGAAAUUGCUACCACAUUAACAAGAUUUUCCAGGCAUUAAUGGAUUGAUUUCUGUUAAAUUGUAACUAUAUUAAUUCAUCCCAAUUACCUCUAAGUAAAAUUUAAAUUAAGUUAAAUUGAAGAAAUUAAAAAUGUUUGAAAACCCUGCAUGGAAACCUUGAGGCAUCAUAAGAUUGUCAUUUCUCAUCUUUAAUGUCAUUCAUUUUGCAACUGAGAACACAACAUAAAUAGUCUCAGUUCUCACAAGAUUUGUAAGCUGCUAUUUUUCUGUACAAUUUGAAGGUAAUUUAAAGGUAUCUCAAUAAGUCCAACCUGCUUUUUUUUUUUUUUUUCUUCCCUCCUGAUGGAAAAGGCUGUUUGCUCCUUUCCUAAGAAGGAAGCUGAUGUAUGGAUGAUCCAUUUAUAAUGAGAAGAUACUCUGCCAUAAAGACAGGUUUAAAUGAAUACAGGAAGUGCUGUCAUUGGUCUCACUGAGAGAGCACUCAGAGUAGGCAUAGAGGGAAGUGCUGGCUGCCCAGUAGUGACAUGCAGCUCCUGAGUGCAACAUUGCUCCAAAUGGCAGAAGUAUCCUUCUUCUGAAGGUUAUGGCUAAGGAUUAGCCUUCUGCAAAGCCUGGUGACAGAUCCAGGCUGAGAUAGCUUUAAUCUGAUGCUGGGGAACACAACUAUGUUCUGGUUUAGCCAAGCUCUGAGUUGCUCACAUCUGGGCUAGAAAUAUUUGAGUAGAAACUGACUCUAAAUGAGAAAAGUUUGUACAUUCUCCCAAGUUAUGUUACAAUUUACAGGGGAAAGAGAACUGGGAAUAGAACUGGAGGUCUCAGCAGAUGGUAACUCAAAGUGUUCAUUCAUCUCCUGAUCAACCGCUUCUUGAAAAAGGCCCUUCCAAAAGCACAGUUCUCCAGAUCCUGAUUUCUAGACACAUUCGGAGCAUGGAAGGGCCUUGUCUGCAUGUCUGUGAAGGUGGUCAAUGUGCUGCACUGAGGUGGAGAUCAAGAUUUAUUAAUGGAGAAUGUCAUGCUGUGAAACUGUUGGCAUUUCAUGACUUCUCUUUGGCUUCCUUUGUCCUUGGAAGCUCUGUAUUCUUCAAGGUUGGCCCGGUGGUCUGCUCAGAGGUAAUAACUGCUAACUAGAACUAGCAGAAACCAGACAAAGUACUCAGUUUAGAUCAUCCAUGCUCUGAGAGAAUUAGACGGAUGCAGGUCACGCUGAGGAGAACCAGGGAAGCUGUUCCCCUCCCUGCAGCAGAGUCAUUCAAACUGAAAGCUGCUCGCAGGAGGGAGGAGGAUUGGAGAAAGGUGCUUCUUAAUUGCAUUUUGGUUCUGGACCCUC
ensembl:lncRNA